rnacentral:rRNA from 1 species
UUCCGGUUGAUCCUGCCGGACCCGACUGCUAUUUGGGUGAGGAUAAGCCAUGCGAGUUGAAUGGGAUACCCAAAGUUCCCAUGGCAAACUGCUCAGUAACACAUGAUCAACUUACCCUAUAGAGAAAAAUAACCUCGGGAAACUGAGGAUAAUGUUUCAUAGUUGAAUUGGCUUGGAAAAGUUUUUCGACGAAAGGGGUAAAAAGAAUGGUUUUUAUCUGCUAUAGGAUAGGAUCGUGUUCGAUUAUGGUUGUUGGUGAGGUAAUGGCUCACCAAGCCGAUAAUCGAUAGGGGCCGUGAGAGCGGGAGCCCCGAGAUGGGUACUGAGACAACGACCCAGGCCUUGCGAGGCGCAGCAGGCGCGAAACCUCCGCAAUACACGAAAGUGUGACGGGGUUACCCAAAGUGUUCAAUUUUGAACUGUGGUAGGUGAGUAAUGUUCCCUACUAGAAAGGAGAGGGCAAGGCUGGUGCCAGCCGCCGCGGUAAAACCAGCUCUUCAAGUGGUCGGGAUAAUUAUUGGGCUUAAAGUGUCCGUAGCCGGUUUAGUAAGUUCCUGGUAAAAUCGGGUAGCUUAACUAUCUAUAUGCUAGGAAUACUACUAUACUAGAGGGCGGGAGAGGUCUGAGGUACUACAGGGGUAGGGGUGAAAUCUUAUAAUCCUUGUUGGACCACCAGUGGCGAAGGCGUCAGACUGGAACGCGCCUGACGGUGAGGGACGAAAGCCAGGGGAGCGAACCGGAUUAGAUACCCGGGUAGUCCUGGCCGUAAACGAUGCAUACUAGGUGAUGGCACGGCCAUGAGCCGUGUCAGUGCCGUAGGGAAACCGUUAAGUGUGCCGCCUGGGAAGUACGGUCGCAAGGCUAAAACUUAAAGGAAUUGGCGGGGGAGCGCCACAAGGGUGAAGCCUGCGGUUCAAUUGGACUCAACGCCGG